rnacentral:rRNA from 1 species
GGCUUAACACAUGCAAGUCGAGCGGAGAUGAGGUGCUUGCACCUUAUCUUAGCGGCGGACGGGUGAGUAAUGCUUAGGAAUCUGCCUAUUAGUGGGGGACAACAUUCCGAAAGGAAUGCUAAUACCGCAUACGUCCUACGGGAGAAAGCAGGGGAUCUUCGGACCUUGCGCUAAUAGAUGAGCCUAAGUCGGAUUAGCUAGUUGGUGGGGUAAAGGCCUACCAAGGCGACGAUCUGUAGCGGGUCUGAGAGGAUGAUCCGCCACACUGGGAGUGAGACACGGCCCAGACUCCUACGGGAGGCAGCAGUGGGGAAUAUUGGACAAUGGGGGGAACCCUGAUCCAGCCAUGCCGCGUGUGUGAAGAAGGCCUUAUGGUUGUAAAGCUC